rnacentral:rRNA from 1 species
UACGGAGGGGGCGAGCGUUGUCCGAAGUUACUGGGCGUAAAGCGCGCGUAGGCGGGUUGGUAAGUCCGCUGUGAAAGCCCGGAGCUCAACUCCGGAGGGUCGGUGGAUACUGCCAGUCUUGAAGGUGCUAGGGGGAGAUGGAAUUACCGGUGUAGCGGUGAAAUGCGUAGAGAUCCGGAGGAACACCGGUGGCGAAGGCGGCUUCCUGGACCGACACUGACGCUGAGGCGCGAAAGCUAGGGGAGCAAACGGG